CCCGUCUUGAAACACGGACCAAGGAGUUUAUCGUGUGCGCAAGUCAUUGGGUGUUGAAAACUCAAAGGCGCAAUGAAAGUAAAGAAUCCGCAAGGAUACGACGUGUGAUCUGAGCAAUCACGAUUGCCUGGAGCAACAUGGCCCCAUUCUGGUCGCUUGCGACGGGGUGGAGGAAGAGCGUACGCGGUGAGACCCGAAAGAUGGUGAACUAUUCCUGAGCAGGAUGAAGCCAGAGGAAACUCUGGUGGAAGUCCGAAGCGAUUCUGACGUGCAAAUCGAUCGUCUGACU
rnacentral:rRNA from 1 species